rnacentral:rRNA from 1 species
UACGGAAGGUGCAAGCGUUAAUCGGAAUCAUUGGGCGUAAAGGGCGCGUAGGCGGGACAGCAAGUCAGAUGUGAAAUUCCGGAGCUCAACUCCGGAGCUGCAUUUGAAACUACUAUCCUCGAGGGUAGACGGAGAAAGCGGAAUUCCAUGUGUAGCGGUGAAAUGCGUAGAUACAUGGAGGAACACCGGUGGCGAAGGCGGCUUUCUAGUUUAUUCCUGACGCUAAAGCGCGAAAGCAAGGGGAGCAAACAGG